rnacentral:rRNA from 1 species
CCUAAUACAUGCAGUCGAGCGAACAGACAAGGAGCUUGCUCCUUUGACGUUAGCGGCGGACGGGUGAGUAACACGUGGGUAACCUACCUAUAAGACUGGGAUAACUUCGGGAAACCGGAGCUAAUACCGGAUAAUAUUUCGAACCGCAUGGUUCGAUAGUGAAAGAUGGUUUUGCUAUCACUUAUAGAUGGACCCGCGCCGUAUUAGCUAGUUGGUAAGGUAACGGCUUACCAAGGCGACGAUACGUAGCCGACCUGAGAGGGUGAUCGGCCACACUGGAACUGAGACACGGUCCAGACUCCUACGGGAGGCAGCAGUAGGGAAUCUUCCGCAAUGGGCGAAAGCCUGACGGAGCAACGCCGCGUGAGUGAUGAAGGUCUUCGGAUCGUAAAACUCUGUUAUUAGGGAAGAACAUACGUGUAAGUAACUAUGCACGUCUUGACGGUACCUAAUCAGAAAGCCACGGCUAACUACGUGCCAGCAGCCGCGGUAAUACGUAGGUGGCAAGCGUUAUCCGGAAUUAUUGGGCGUAAAGCGCGCGUAGGCGGUUUUUUAAGUCUGAUGUGAAAGCCCACGGCUCAACCGUGGAGGGUCAUUGGAAACUGGAAAACUUGAGUGCAGAAGAGGAAAGUGGAAUUCCAUGUGUAGCGGUGAAAUGCGCAGAGAUAUGGAGGAACACCAGUGGCGAAGGCGACUUUCUGGUCUGUAACUGACGCUGAUGUGCGAAAGCGUGGGGAUCAAACAGGAUUAGAUACCCUGGUAGUCCACGCCGUAAACGAUGAGUGCUAAGUGUUAGGGGGUUUCCGCCCCUUAGUGCUGCAGCUAACGCAUUAAGCACUCCGCCUGGGGAGUACGACCGCAAGGUUGAAACUCAAAGGAAUUGACGGGGACCCGCACAAGCGGUGGAACAUGUGGUUUAAUUCGAAGCAACGCGAAGAACCUUACCAAAUCUUGACAUCCUUUGACCACUCUAGAGAUAGAGCUUUCCCCUUCGGGGGACA